rfam:Dipodomys ordii contig_17660, whole genome shotgun sequence.
GGGAAGGUAGCUCAGAGGUAGAGCGCUUGCCUUGCAUGCAAGAGGCCUGGGUUCCAUUCCCCAGCACCA